UUUAUUUAUUUUAUUAUAAUUGUUUUUUGUUAGUUUAUUUUUUAAUAAAAGAAAUUUUAUUUAUUAUUUUGUCUUAGUAUAUUUUAUAGAAUUGAUUAUUUUUGUUAUAGUUUAAUAGUAAUGUAAUUGGAUUAUGAAAUAAUUUUUUAAUUAUCAAAAAGUAGAUUUAAUUUGUUGUACCUUUUGUAUCAGGGUUUAUUAAAUUUUUAGUAUUUAUUUACUAAUCUCGAUUUAGGUUGAUUUACAAAUAAAUUAAAGUUAAUGUGUCAUAAUUAUUUUUAAUUUAUUUUUAGAAAUGAAAUGUUAAUCGUUUCCUAAUAUAUCUAGUUUCUUAAGAAAAAAAUUUAAUUUUUUAAAGUUAAUAGUUUUUAUUUACUUUUUUAUAUAGAAAUGUUAACUUAUUUAUUCUUUAGGGGAUAAGCUCUAGAGUUUUCCUAUAAUUUUAUUAAUUUUGAUUUAAUAGUAAGCUUUAAACCAGCUAUCUUUUUGAUUACGUUUUAGUUCAUUAUUUAUUAUUUUGAUUUUAUAAAUAUUUUAGGUUUUAUAUUAAGAUUAUUAAUUUAAUUUUUAAAUUAUUGUAAUAAUGAUAGAAUUAGUAUAUAUAUAUUUAUUGUUUAUAAUAUUUUAUUAUGUUAAUUUAUUAUAAGGAAUUAGGCAAAAUUGAUUUCCGCCUGUUUAUCAAAAACAU
rnacentral:rRNA from 1 species